AGAAAUGGUGCACCAUCUGUGAUAAAUAGAUGUCCGUGCAGUGAUGGAAGAUAUUCACCCAUAAGCAAAGAUAUAACAUACCACCCAAAAAUAUUUGCAAAGAAGACAUGAGCUAUAUCCUCAGGAUGAAAGAAACGAAUACGCAAUACGAAAUAAAAGUAUGACAUGGAAGCAAGCAAUAGUUACAAAAGUAAUAUUUUAUUAAUAUUUUCAAAAAUUACAAAUUAUAAAAGCAUUUACAAAGAGGCAUUGUCUUUAUCCUCAGAUAGUGAAUGCUCCGACUAGAAAGCUUAAAGACUUGACUCCUCACCUACAAGCCUAUUUUCCUCUCCUUCUUCCAAACCAUCCAGAGUAGACGCAUGCCUCCAAGUUUCACUUCAAAAGGGUUGCUCCGGGAGGACUUCCCAAAGAAAACAAAAUGCCUCAUCUCCUGGCGAAAGUAAUGACAAUUGUCUUCAAAUGGGUAGUUGAUGUAAAAAUCAAGCCGACAGCCACACCUAAUCAGAUCGAAAAAAGGCCUAAAAUUCAUUCCAUGAGUGUAAAUGGGACCAAAUGCCACUUGCAUGGCUAGCAUGACCCGAUCUACGAUAAUAGUCAGAACUCAGAACAGUUACUUGAGCAUCCUCCAAUCUUUUUCGGUCUUUCUCCUAGGCCACACAUAUAUGUUUUAACUGAAGGCUUAGGCCUUUUACUUCGAUGUCUCGGUCCAUCAAAGCUCUUCGUAGCCUUUUCUUAUCUUCUAGCAACUAAGCUUGUCAUUUUUUUGCUAGUUCAGCACAUAACCGAAGUUGGGCAU
rnacentral:lncRNA from 1 species